rnacentral:tRNA from 2 species
CGGUGUAGCUCAGUUGGUAGAGCGGCUGACUUGUAAUCAGUAGGUCGUGGGUUCGACUCCUAUCGCCGG